rnacentral:lncRNA from 1 species
UGGGAAAAAGCACUCGUUGUAAUGUUAUACAGUUAGGGCGCAACAGUGUAGUUUAAUGUUGUUCCAGUUUUGGUUCUUGUAACGUUGACAUCGAUUCGAUCGAAAUUUGGACUCUCGGGGCAUAAUAGAACAAUAUAAUUAGAUUUUACUCUUUGUUCGAUUGAAUGAGAAAAAGUACUUGUUGCAAUGUUAUACUGUUAGGGCGCAACUGUGGAGUCUAAUGUUGUUCCGGUUUUGGUUCUUGUGAACGUUGACAUCGAUUCGUUCGA